UUCGGGUAGGUCCACUGAUGACGCAGUUCAUAACUUGACCGAAUUUAUAGUUAGGAAUAUGGAUAGGAGGGAAAAAGUGAUUGGUGUUGUGAUAGUAAGAGGGUAGGAACGAGAGGACGGACACGGUUGGUGUUUGCCGAUAAUUGGACGUGUCGGUGACACACUUAAUAUUAACAUUUUGGUGUUAUAUAAAAUUUUGGUUCUAGUGUUAUUACUGUGUUGAGGGCUUUAUGAAAUGCCCUCAAAUUUAAUAUUCAUAAAACAAAUGUUUGGAUGAAGAUAGUGUCACUGUGUUGUGAACACUCCUGUACAAUACAGCGGGUUUUGGUGGGAUGACCCAAGAAUAAAAAUCCUCCUGGCGCCCAUAACCUAUUAGUUAAUGUUAAUUUUAGUUUAUAAGUUUAGUUAAUUAGUUAAUGCAUGUUAGUAUUUACUUAGCUUAAGGUUUGUCAUAAAUAUUUCAAAAUGUG